CGCUGCUUACACAAUUCACACCCUUCGACUAUUUCUGAUAGUCAUUCAGUGCUCCAUUCAAAUUACAUUUCAGUACGAAUUCGUUCCCCACAGACGACGGACGUCUUUCCCGCCCAAAACAACAAAAAAAAUGACAUAUUCUUUUCAAAAUUAGAACGUUAAGAGCCCAUUUCGCGCGCGUGUGUCAGUUUUUGACGUAUUCCUCAAAAUGGCGGGCGUUCAGUGAUUUUUUUUCUGUUCUUUUUUUAAAAUGCAAGUGUGACUGUUGUGCCUGUUGAUAUAGUAGGAAAAGUUUUUAAACGGCUCGAAGGGAAAAAUCAGCUUCUGCAGCUUCUAAAAGGGCCGAUGACUUUGUACUCGCUGUUUAUUAGUAUUAGAAUUUAGUUUGUAGUGUAUUUUGGAUUGUAUAGAAUCAUUCAAAUGUUAUUAGCAUAAGUUUAAAUUAAUGUCGAUAAUCUCUGCCAAAUAUAGUUUUAUUUAAAAAUUAUGUAAAAACGAUUUUAAAAUGUAUCAAUGUGUAAUAUUUUCUUAGGUAUCCAGUAUUCACAGCUGACAAUCAAGAAGAAAACUCACUUUCUGCAUUUUACUCUGUGACAAAUCCCCAAUUUGCUCACACUUAGGAUGCAGGAUUUGAAAAGCACGCCAUCUCGCGACUGACGGCGGAACUAAAAGUUGCUUACUACUCGAUACUAGAUGGCGUUACUUGUACCAUAUUUUUUACUAGUAAUGGAGUAUUUUUGGAAGAAAGAAGAUUAUAAAUAAAUGUAUUGUGCUGUGCCCUUGUCAUUCUUCUUGCCUGUGUGCUUUUAUACUACUGGACGGAGAACUGAUAAGGGCAUAUCCAGUACGAAUUCACCGUGGGAAAGAAGACUUUGAAGAAAAUCAUCAUUGUUUGUCUGCUCUUAUGUUUUUGACAUUUGUGUAGAACUUUACUAGUGUUUCAUUUGUUAUUAUUUAUGGUAUAUUUACUAUAAAGGAAUGUUGUUUAAUAAUAAACCUAAGUACAAUAUCAAAUUAAUUAAUAAAAUUAUAUUUAAUAAGUAUAAUAAAAUCUACAGUAUUUUCUAGCAAAUAUUUAUUGGUUUCUUUCUUGGUCGGCAACCGAAAGGUUAAAGAAUGUAACGAAAUAAUGCUUGAUGCUAAUAAAUGUCAAUUUUGUACAAAAUAUUUUUAAUUUGUGUAAAUACACAAUCUGUGAAACCGUUUCUUAUUAACCAUUGUGCAACCUUGUGAUUUAAUAAAAAUAAAAUUUUCAUUUCCAAGA